CAAGGAUCUGCAGAUGGUAAAGGAGUAGAAUGACAUCAUGGACUGACCCUUUGAAGAUAAUAAUGGCUUUGCUGCUUGGGUGGGGAAGGUGCUGCCUGGCUUGCUGAGUUCCUCCAGCAUUCGGUGUGCUUUGCUUGGAUUUCCAGCAUCUACAGAUUUUCUCGUGUCUGUAUCUCAAUGUGUCUGUUUGAUUCUGGUCAGCCGCAUCAUGGAAUGAGAUUGCACUGGAUGAAGUACAUACAUAAUUACAUGCUGAUACACUCAGAAAAGUUCCUGCUGUGAGACCCUGCAGGUCCAGUCAACUGAAAG